rnacentral:SRP_RNA from 1 species
GCCGGGUGUGGUGAUGCACACCUGUAGUCCCAGCUACUUGGGAGGUUGAGACAGGAAAAUUGCUUGAACCCAGGAGGUGGAGGGUGCAGUGAGCUGAGAUCACACCACUGCACUCUAGCCUGGGCAACAGAGCAAGACUUUGUCUCCA